AGGAUAAACGCUGGCGGCGUGCAUGAGACAUGCAAGUCGAACGGACGAUCGAGGCUUGCUUCGAUCGUUAGUGGCGGACGGCUGAGUAACGCGUAGGUGACCUGCCCCGAAGUGGGGAAUAACUGCCCGAAAGGGUGGCUAAUACCGCAUGUGGUGGUGCGUUCAAUCGCACCAGUAAAGCCGCAAGGCGCUUCGGGAGGGGCCUGCGUCCGAUUAGCUCGUUGGUGGGGUAACGGCUCACCAAGGCGACGAUCGGUAGGUGGUCUGAGAGGACGAUCACCCAGACUGGGACUGAGACACGGCCCAGACUCCUACGGGAGGCAGCAGUCGGGAAUUUUUGCGCAAUGGACGAAAGUCUGACGCAGCAACGCCGCGUGAGGGAUGAAGGCCUUCGGGUUGUAAACCUCUUUUAUCAGGGAAGAUAAUGACGGUACCUGAUGAAUAAGUCACGGCUAACUACGUGCCAGCAGCCGC
rnacentral:rRNA from 1 species